CGCCGGGCAGCGCCGAGCGAGCGGCCCUCCCCUGCGCGCUAUAAAAGCCGCCUCCAGAAAGAGAGGAAAGUCGGCGAGAGAAGAGCAUCGCGUCGCGGUGCCGCUACUCUCAGGUACGGGCAUGACAUCCGUCCUCGGCGGCAGCAGGGCGUCGGGAGGGCCGAGCGGGCAGCUGAAAUGCAAGUCCAAGAGGAGGAGGAGGAGGAGAUCGAAGAGGAAAGAAAAGAAAGAAAGAUUGAGAGCAGAGUCAAGAUGAAGAGAAUAGGAGCCCGAUCCUGCUUUGUCACGUGGGAAUCCCUCUUUCAGGAGGACUGGGCCCUACUGCUUAUGGGGACCUUCAUCCCAUGGGUGGCCAUUCUCCCAUGGGUGGUCACAUUGUCUUCAUUGAUCUCAGUGGUAAUUUUUAUAGGGGUUAGGGUCAUGACAACUGGCACUGACAGUAAUACAUCACUGCCAAAUUAGAAUUUCUAAAAGAAAGCAAGAAAGUUAAAAUUGCACAUUCAGGAAAGCACUUUAUUUACUUCCUACAUUACAGCAACAGAAUUUAAUAUUACAGGAGGUUUAAAAAUACAUUUGCAUAACACAGAAGUUAUCAGUCUAGACUCCCCAUCUGUUGAAUGCCUCGUUAGUAAGUAGCUGUAGCACUUCGGUAUUUUACUUAAACCUCAUGUAAAAAAUGGUAAUAAUUUCUCUACGCUAUUCUGCUACUAAUGAAACUUCAAAGCCAUGAAUGCAUAUGUUUAUAUUCAAUUUCUAUUUAUAUACUUAAACACAGACACUAGUACUAAGCAUAUUAAUGUGCCAAUAUGUGCUCCAGCAAUGCAUACAUUAACUUACAUGCAUAUUCAUAUAAAGGGCUGAGCUUGAUGGAAGCUUUGUCCUAAGCUUCAUACAGACCUCGAAUCAAACCCUUAGUUUUUAAUAAAUAUUGGGCCAAAUUUCCGGGAAUUCAUUUGGUUCAUUUUUACUUUUGUGUUUGUUCUCUCUUAAGCAUAAGUUUUGCAUACAAGUGUUCCCCUGCUGACUCUGUAGUGCUUCCACACUCUCUUGUCCAUUCUCCUUUGUCUCUCUUGUUUUCAGUGUGUUUUAAUCAUGCAUUGUAAUCCCCUAUGCCGUUAUAACUGAUUAAUUAGCAGCCCCUCCGAUUCAGGCUCUGAAUCGUUCUCUUAUGCUCAGAUCAUUUAUAACCUUAGCUGAAAAGACAAGAUUGAACGUCUCCCUUGCAAUUCAUCUCUUUGCUUUGUGUAACUACCAUGAUUAUUGUUUAUUCUUUAUUAUGAGUGGGUUUUUGUAAGGAUGAAAUGUUAACUCUCUGUUAUCUUGGCUCUUAACCUGCAAUUAAAUCCCAUCAGAUAGGAUGAUGGGAAAUAAUGGAAAGUCAGAGAAUCCACCACUCAUGUUUCUUUGUAGGUUUGGGGACUUCAAAUGUCCUUUUUUUUUUCCCAAAGACUAGCUUGAAGAAACUGCAACUAGAAGAAUUGAAUGACAAAUCAAUUAUUUUGCAGAGAUUUCAUUUGCUUAUAAUCUCAAAUUUUCUUUACAGAUAUGUGGGAUAGAAGCAUGCAUUUAUUUGUAAUGUGUGAUGUGUGAAAAGUAAAUAAAUCUGACAUUUUCCUUGAACAUUAGGAUGCCAAAAUCUAUGGUUUUCAGAAAAUCAUGUGGCAGGACCUGCUUGUGUACCAGUAGCCUUGGCUGCAGCAGUUGCAGAGCUGGACAGCCCAGGGAAAGCGCUGUGUCCCAGGAGGAUAGGCUGGGCAGGAGCUGGGGGUUCAGGUAACACACCCAAGGGGACAGAGGGCAGUGGCAACAAAGCUGAAACUCGUGUCCUUAACAAAGAGAUUGCAGGCUGCAGGACUUCUUGUGGCAGAGAAGAUCUGUCCUCCUCAGAAGUUCAUAUCUGAACUUCCCUCAACUCUUUGUCCAGAUUUCCUUGUGAAGUCCAAUGCUCAGAGCUUGUGCAGGAAGCAUUUUUCUCCAUUACGUUUGCCCUAUGCAUAUUUUUUGAAGCAGAUGGGGUUAAGAUAUCAAGAGAUUGAAGGGGGAUCAAAUACCCAUUUGCCAUUAUCUAUUUCAAGCAUGAAUCCAUGAGAGCACAGCAUGAAGGAACAGCAGAGGCAAGGCAGUGUUUUUCGGGACAGAUUGAAUAGUGAAGGAUAAAAUAUUUCUUUGCUCCUCCCAUCUACUGUCCCAGUCACCCUGUCAAGCACCAGCUAGCAGCACAAAGAAGAUUUAUUUCUCUGAAAGGAACUAGCUGUCUCUGAGUGUCACACAAUUUAUGCAGCAAUUGCUUGUUUACAUUCUGCUGCAGUUAAUGCCCAUGUGGACUUCUCAGUCCAAAGAUCUGCAUUCUCUUCAGCCCAAACUGAGCCAAAGAGAGAUACUGAUGUCCUGAACGUAGAAUCAUAGAAUAUCCUGAGGGAAGGAACCCACAAAGAUCACCAAGCCCAACCCCCAGCUCCACACAGCACUGUCUGAAAAUCAGACUAUACGUCUGAGAGCUUUGCUCUCCAUCAGAAGAGGGGUGGCCAGCAGGGACAAUGUGGUGAUCGUCCCUCUCUACUCUGCCCUCGUGAGGCCCUAUCUGGAGUACUCNUGGAAGUGCAGUCCUCCCACAGCUAUGCUGGGUGUACUGAGGGCAGGGUGUUACAAUUUCCAGAAAAAGAUGUUACCCAGGAUCUUGAAUAUUUACAUCCUUUUCCUUUUAUAAA
rnacentral:lncRNA from 1 species